GGUUUGCAAAGGAUUGACCUUAAUUUCUAACC
ncrna:Dokdonia donghaensis DSW-1 S4-Flavobacteria ribosomal protein leader